GCUUACGGCCAUACCCGCCUGGGUACGCCCGAUCUCGUCUGAUCUCGGAAGCUAAGCAGGGUCGGGCCUGGUUAGUACUUGGAUGGGAGACCGCCUGGGAAUACCAGGUGCUGUAAGCA
rnacentral:rRNA from 1 species